rnacentral:tRNA from 1 species
GGCUCGGUGGUGUAGUUGGUUAUCACGUCAGUCUAACAGGCUAUUAAAGCCUCAAGCGCACUGAAGGUCCCGAGUUCAAACCUCGGCUGAGUCA